GAAAGAAACUGUGGGAGGGACGGAGAGGAAAAGCCUGGGACACAGAAGUGGCGAUCGGAAAAGGAAAGAUAGACCAUCGUCUGCUUCUCUUCUACUACUACCGUUAGGUUGCAUGUCUAAUAUUCAAUUCCUUCCGCGACGACUCGUCAUUUUUUUCCCCAAAGCUUCUAAGCCAUCGCCUGACAACUUCCACCGGAGCCAGAGCGCUCUGAGUUCUCCUUCAAGGAUUUAGGAUAUAUCUCCAAGCGUUUUUGCAAAGAGAUUUAAAUGAGAACACAUCCCUGCUUCAUGAUUAUUAAGAAAUUAUUUUGAGGAAAAUUCACAUGUAAGCAGAGCGUAAUGUUUUAUGCGUCUGAUUGUUUUAUUUCUCUAUUACAUUAUUUAUUUUUUAUAAAGAUAGUGAAAAUUUCAGGGUAGCUUUCAAGUUGUGGGGAGAAAGUCCAAAAUCGCUUAAGAAUAACAAUGCUUUAUAUAAUCCCUUCCCUCCUGAUAGACUGCAAAAAUAAAUACUUGCCAUGAGAUGGAUCCUUUAGAGUAACUUCACUUUCACCCUGAAGACAGGUCAGAAAUGCCUGUUAUACUCAGAGAAUUCAAAGAGAUUUGGACACCCUUAAAGACUUAAAAACUGGAAAACAAAAACACACUGAUUUUCUCAUCCAAAACUCUAUAAUUAAUUCACCUGUCUUUCAGAGUAGCCAACCAUACUCAUAUCCUUUAAGACCCAAGACUAGUUGCUAGUGUGUUAUUUAAGUAACAUGAUAUUUCUGUGGGUUUUUUUUUCAUAUUUGAAAGGUACAACUAUAUUUUGGGAAAGUCCUUUUCAUUUUGUCAAUGAAAAUGUUUGUUAUGUAAAUAAUGAGAACAAAAACUAAGCUCCAUGGUUAACUUGUAAAGGCAGAAAGGGUAACUGUGCUUGAAAACAUUAGGCAGAGUUUAGAGUGACUCUCAUCUUUCUUUCAUCUCUCCUUUUCUUCUCUUUUCUCACUUGUUGCAUGGAGGUACUUAUUCAAGGAUCUUUGCCCAACAUAUGAUUUGAGCAUAGUCAUGUCAGUUUGUUGCUUUAUAUCUAUAGGAAUCUUAAAUAGUGAGGCAUUGAACCUGUCUACACAUGCUCAUUGACUUCACAAGAUAUGAAACAAGCAUUCCCUGGAUUUUAGACAUUAACUAUUAACAGCAGGUUCUUAGUAUUGAGGAUGAAAUUUUUGCCAUUUUGGUUUUGAAAUUAUCAUCACUUUUCUCCUUAUCAUGUCAAUCCUUUAAACUCUUUGAAGUGUAGUGGCAAAAGGUACAGGAACUAUACAGAGAAAUAUGACACUAUUGGCUAGUUAGUCUCUUUAUGCUAAACUUUCUGGGGCAUGGCAGUUAGAUUAAGAGGUUUUUCUGAGUUAUAAGAAUUCAGAAAUUUUUUUUAGAAAAGCAGAUAAACUUCUGUAAUGAUAACUAAAGUUGCCACUGCUGUUUGGCCUAGUUUAGCCAAUCAAUGUAUUUUAAUAUAUUCAGAAAUAAUUUUAUUGAUUUUUCAAUCCCCCAAAUCUGUCUUGGAUUAAAAGUAGGAAUUCAAUAUGUGUUGCAUACAUUAAAACAUUGUUUUAAGUGUUUAUGUAUGUUUUAGAAAAUAUUACCAUUUGAAAAAUGCCAAAUUAUUGUGUUAAUCAGGGGAAGAGGAAGAAAGUACCAAGCUCUUAAAAGCAAAUUUGAUUGUGGAAUUGUAUGCCUAACUUCUAAUAAAC
rnacentral:lncRNA from 1 species